GACGAACGCUGGCGGCGUGCUUUAGGCAUGCAAGUCGAACGCGAAAGCCCCUUCGGGGGUGAGUAGAGUGGCGAACGGGUGAGUAACACGUGGGUAACCUGCCCCUCGCAGGGGGAUAACCGGGGGAAACCCCGGCUAAUACCCCGUACGCUUGCUGGGGCGCAUGCUCCGGCAAGGAAAGGUAGCUUCGGCCAUCCGGCGAGGGAGGGGCCCGCGGCCCAUUAGCUAGUUGGUGGGGUAACGGCCCACCAAGGCGACGAUGGGUAGCUGGCCUGAGAGGGUGGUCAGCCACCCGGGGGCUGAGACACGGCCCAGACUCCGACGGGAGGCAGCAGCCAGGAAUCUUGCGCAAUGGGCGAAAGCCUGACGCAGCAACGCCGCGUGGGCGAUGAAGGCCUGCGGGUCGUAAAGCCCUGUUGUCGGGGACGAAGGGCGAAGGGUUAAUAGCCCCUAGCCUGACGGUACCCGACGAGGAAGCCCCGGCUAACUACGUG
rnacentral:rRNA from 1 species